UCGAACGGAGCCUUAACCAAAGAAGCAGCCAGCUUGCUGGAAGCGGAAAACGUAAAGGCUUAGUGGCGGACGGGUGAGUAACGCGUGGGUAACCUGGCCCAUACAGGGGGAUAACACUUAGAAAUAGGUGCUAAUACCGCAUAACAACAGAAAGCGCAUGCUUUUUGUUUGAAAACCAAGGUGGUAUGGGAUGGACCCGCGUCUGAUUAGCUGGUUGGCGGGGUAAAGGCCCACCAAGGCGACGAUCAGUAGCCGGCCUGAGAGGGUGGACGGCCACAUUGGGACUGAGACACGGCCCAAACUCCUACGGGAGGCAGCAGUGGGGAAUAUUGCACAAUGGGGGAAACCCUGAUGCAGCGACGCCGCGUGAGUGAAGAAGUAAUUCGUUAUGUAAAGCUCUAUCAGCAGGGAAGAAAAUGACGGUACCUGAGUAAGAAGCCCCGGCUAACUACGUGCCAGCAGCCGCGGUAAUACGUAGGGGGCAAGCGUUAUCCGGAUUUACUGGGUGUAAAGGGAGCGUAGACGGCAGUGCAAGUCUGGAGUGAAAGGCGGGGGCUCAACCCCCGGACUGCUCUGGAAACUGUACGGCUGGAGUGCAGGAGAGGUAAGUGGAAUUCCUAGUGUAGCGGUGAAAUGCGUAGAUAUUAGGAGGAACACCAGUGGCGAAGGCGGCUUACUGGACUGUAACUGACGUUGAGGCUCGAAAGCGUGGGGAGCAAAC
rnacentral:rRNA from 1 species